AAUUAGGAACAAAGCUCGAGAGU
rnacentral:siRNA from 1 species